rnacentral:rRNA from 1 species
UACGUAGGGAGCGAGCGUUAUCCGGAAUUAUUGGGCGUAAAGGGUGCGUAGAUGGUCAAUUAAGUCUCAUGUAAAAAUGCUGGGCUCAACCCAGUAGGGCAUGAGAUACUAAUAGACUAGAGUAUGACAGAGGCAAGUGGAACUACAUGUGUAGCGGUAAAAUGCGUAAAUAUAUGUAAGAACACCGGUGGCGAAGGCGGCUUGCUGGGUCGAUACUGACAUUGAGGCACGAAAGCGUGGGGAGCAAA